AGCCAGAGGUUGAAGAUGGAGUUUAGUAAGAAGUUCAGCCUCUUUCCUCAACCUUCCUCACGGUCCUGGCCCCCUAGUGGCGACCUGCGCAGGCUCAAGCAGCUCUGGAGGCCUCAUUGUGAAGAUGUUUGUGUCACAAGAUGGGAGGAACCUGGAUCCCUGAGUCAGAGAAGAGGUGCCCAGGAGAGCCACCCAACCAAGAACACCUACACUGAACUCUGCAUGAGUAAAAAAAUAAUUUGUGUGUGU